rnacentral:rRNA from 1 species
UACGUAGGGUGCGAGCGUUAAUCGGAAUUACUGGGCGUAAAGCGUGCGCAGGCGGUUCGUUGUGUCGGCGGUGAAAGCCCCGGGCUCAACCUGGGAAUGGCCGUUGAAACUGGCGAACUGGAGUGUGGCAGAGGGGGGUGGAAUUCCGCGUGUAGCAGUGAAAUGCGUAGAGAUGCGGAGGAACACCGAUUGCGAAGGCAGCCCCCUGGGCUGACACUGACGCUCAGGCACGAAAGCGUGGGGAGCAAACAGG